rnacentral:rRNA from 1 species
GAUGAACGCUGGCGGCGUGCUUAACACAUGCAAGUCGAACGGUGAAGCAGGAGCUUGCUCUUGUGGAUCAGUGGCGAACGGGUGAGUAACACGUGAGCAACCUGCCCCUGACUCUGGGAUAAGCGCUGGAAACGGCGUCUAAUACUGGAUAUGUGAUGUGACCGCAUGGUCUGCAUCUGGAAAGAAUUUCGGUUGGGGAUGGGCUCGCGGCCUAUCAGCUUGUUGGUGAGGUAAUGGCUCACCAAGGCGUCGACGGGUAGCUGGCCUGAGAGGGUGACCGGCCACACUGGGACUGAGACACGUCCCAGACUCCUACGGGAGGCAGCAGUGGGGAAUAUUGCACAAUGGGCGGAAGCCUGAUGCAGCAACGCCGCGUGAGGGAUGACGGCCUUCGGGUUGUAAACCGCUUUUGUUUGGGAAGAAGCGCAAGCUGACGGUACCAAGCGAAUAAGAGGUUGCUAACUCUGUGCCAGCCGCCGCAGUAA